UGGGGAAUAUUGGACAAUGGGCGAAAGCCUGAUCCAGCCAUGCCGCGUGUGUGAAGAAGGUCUUCGGAUUGUAAAGCACUUUAAGUUGGGAGGAAGGGCAGUAAGCGAAUACCUUGCUGUUUUGACGUUACCGACAGAAUAAGCACCGGCUAACUCUGUGUCAGCAGCCGCGGUAAUACAGAGGGUGCAAGCGUUAAUCGGAAUUACUGGGCGUAAAGCGCGCGUAGGUGGUUCGUUAAGUUGAAUGUGAAAGCCCCGGGCUCAACCUGGGAACUGCAUCCAAAACUGGCGAGCUAGAGUAGGGCAGAGGGUGGUGGAAUUUCCUGUGUAGCGGUGAAAUGCGUAGAUAUAGGAAGGAACACCAGCGGCGAAGGCGACCACCUGGGCUCAUACUGACACUGAGGUGCGAAAGCGUGGGGAGCAAACAGG
rnacentral:rRNA from 1 species